CGACGGCCCUUUUGGUUCAACAACAUCAUCAAAUCCACAUAACUGUUCAUUCUAAGAUCAAGCCCCAACGACCCUUUGGAUCAACAACAUCAAUAAAUCCACACAACUGUUCAUCCCAAGAUCAAGCCCCGACGGCCCUUGGAUCAACAAUCAUCCG
rnacentral:sRNA from 1 species